rnacentral:tRNA from 1 species
AGAAGCAAUAAUGUUAAUAUGAGUAACAAGAAGGCUCUUCUCCCUGC